UACGUAGGGUGCAAGCGUUGUCCGGAAUUAUUGGGCGUAAAGAGCUUGUAGGCGGUUUGUCGCGUCUGCUGUGAAAUUUCGGGGCUCAACCCCGAACUUGCAGUGGGUACGGGCAGACUAGAGUGUGGUAGGGGAGACUGGAAUUCCUGGUGUAGCGGUGAAAUGCGCAGAUAUCAGGAGGAACACCGAUGGCGAAGGCAGGUCUCUGGGCCAUAACUGACGCUGGGAAGCGAAAGCAUGGGGAGCGAACAGG
rnacentral:rRNA from 1 species